rnacentral:snRNA from 1 species
AACGCUUCUCGGCUUUUUGGCUAAGAUCGAAAUUUAGUUUCUGUUCUUAUCGAAUCAACCUUCGAUAGAGAUUCGAACAGGUUGGUAUCCAUCAACGUAUAGUUGCAUGAAUACGAGCAUUCCUUUUAGAAAGAACCUUUGUAGUGCGCAUAAAUUCAUACCUUUCGAGACCUCGGCAUGCAACCAGCGGAGUUCCGCAUGGUGGUGUACUCUCACCAGUACUCUUCAACAUUU